rnacentral:rRNA from 1 species
UACGUAGGGUGCGAGCGUUAAUCGGAAUUACUGGGCGUAAAGCGUGCGCAGGCGGUUUGUUAAGACAGGUGUGAAAUCCCCGGGCUUAACCUGGGAAUGGCGCUUGUAACUGGCAAGCUAGAGUGUGUCAGAGGGAGGUAGAAUUCCACGUGUAGCAGUGAAAUGCGUAGAGAUGUGGAGGAAUACCGAUGGCGAAGGCAGCUCGCUGGGACGUGACUGACGCUGGAGACGCGAAAAGCGUGGGGGAGCAAAACAGG